rnacentral:rRNA from 1 species
AAUAGCUGAGGAAAAGAAACCAACAGGGAUUGCCUCAGUAGCGGCGAGUGAAGCGGCAAGAGCUCAGAUUUGAAAUCGCCUCGGCGAGUUGUAAAUUGCAGGUUGGAGUCUUUGUGGCGGCGUGUGUCUAAGUCCCUUGGAACAGGGCGCCAUUGAGGGUGAGAGCCCCGUGCGGCACGCGUCUAAGCUUUAAGACCCUUCUGACGAGUCGAGUUGUUUGGGAAUGCAGCUCUAAGUGGGUGGUAAAUUCCAUCUAAGGCUAAAUACUGGCGAGAGACCGAUAGCGAACAAGUACUGUGAAGGAAAGAUGAAAAGCACUUUGAAAAGAGAGUGAAACAGCACGUGAAAUUGUUGAAAGGGAAGGGUAUUGGGCUCGACAUGGGGACUGCGCACCGUUGCUUCUUGUAGGCGGCGCUCUGUGCGGUUUCUGGGCCAGCAUCAGUUUUUGCCGCGGGAGAAUGGGGGGAGGAACGUGGCUCUUCGGAGUGUUAUAGCCUCUCUCAGAUGCCGCGAGCGGGGACUGAGGUCUGCGAUUCGUUCAAGGAUGCUGGCACAACGGCGCAAUACCGCCCGUCUUGAAC